AAAGGAACAUUUUUAUGGAGAAUUAAAACUAUUCAGAGAUGCAGUGCUAAAGAAAGGCGAUCAUCAUUUGGAGCUUUGGCGGAAGGACCAUCUGAUGAAGACAAGUCGGGAGGACCAACUGUUGGACGAGUUACCCAAUUCCAUCCAGAGAUUUUCCUGUCUUGGAAGCGAUGUCACUGAUGAAACAUUCGGCUGACGUGGACAUGGUCAUCAAAAAGAUAAAGCUGACAUUUGCCCAUCGGCAUAACAUGGUCCUGGACCAACAGCAGUCAAGCAACAUUCUAUCUUAUUUUCCUCGUUUUAAAGACCUCAAUGGCUUGUUUGAACAGGAUUUUGUUCUAAUGUUUGGAGAGGAUUAAUCGUGCAACUUUCUGGAGAAGUGGUCAUCCACAUUCAAAAAGAAGAUCUUCCAAC